rnacentral:rRNA from 1 species
GAUGAACGCUGGCGGCGUGCCUAAUACAUGCAAGUCGAGCGAACAGACGAGGAGCUUGCUCCUCUGACGUUAGCGGCGGACGGGUGAGUAACACGUGGAUAACCUACCUAUAAGACUGGGAUAACUUCGGGAAACCGGAGCUAAUACCGGAUAAUAUAUUGAACCGCAUGGUUCAAUAGUGAAAGACGGUUUUGCUGUCACUUAUAGAUGGAUCCGCGCCGCAUUAGCUAGUUGGUAAGGUAACGGCUUACCAAGGCAACGAUGCGUAGCCGACCUGAGAGGGUGAUCGGCCACACUGGAACUGAGACACGGUCAAGACUCCUACGGGAGGCAGCAGUAGGGAAUCUUCAGCAAUGGGCGAAAGCUUGACGGAGCAACGCCGCGUGAGUGAUGAAGGUCUUCGGAUCGUAAAACUCUGUUAUUAGGGAAGAACAAAUGUGUAAGUAACUAUGCACGUCUUGACGGUACCUAAUCAGAAAGCCACGGCUAACUACGUG